rnacentral:rRNA from 1 species
GACGAACGCUGGCGGCGUGCUUAACACAUGCAAGUCGAACGGAAAGGCCCUGCUUUUGUGGGGUGCUCGAGUGGCGAACGGGUGAGUAACACGUGAGUAACCUGCCCUUGACUUUGGGAUAACUUCAGGAAACUGGGGCUAAUACCGGAUAGGAGCUCCUGCUGCAUGGUGGGGGUUGGAAAGUUUCGGCGGUUGGGGAUGGACUCGCGGCUUAUCAGCUUGUUGGUGGGGUAGUGGCUUACCAAGGCUUUGACGGGUAGCCGGCCUGAGAGGGUGACCGGCCACAUUGGGACUGAGAUACGGACCAGACUCCUACGAGAGGCAGCAGUGGGGAGUAUUGCACAAUGGGCGGAAGCCUGAUGCAGCAACGCCGCGUGCGGAAUGACGGCCUUCGGGUUGUAAACCGCUUUCGCCUGUGACGAAGCGUGAGUGACGGUAAUGGGUAAAGAAGCACCGGCUAACUACGUG